GUUCAUAGUGCUUUUUUUUUUUAUUGUUUAACCGAGGUAGGAAAUUAAGCAGUAUAAUAGCAAGAGCUUGGUGGCGCAACCCACCGCCCCGUUCCAAAGGGGAUGCUCAUAACAUCCAUCCGACUAAGGGCAUUAGGCACAACUAGUGUUCCUGUUUAUGCACCCACAGGGAGCAUAGUUGCGCAUAGCUUUUCCGGCGCCGCUCGCACCGCUAUUCGCCGAGCGCUAUCACGUGGCGCAAAAUGACGUAAAAUGAUCAACUGCGCCGCUGCGAAGCCAACUUUACGGAUGCGGCGCCGGCUCGUUUCCGUCAGUGCCAUUGAAAUUGCAUUCAGUGGACCGUGGAGCGUGCGUAGCAACGAUCGGCUCUGGGUUGUAGUGUGACGGGUUGCAGCGCACCAAACUGCACAAGUCGCACGGAAGGUGGCAAAGCUUUUUACGCGGUGCCGUGCGGACGGACGAAACUGACCUGCUCCGAAAGGGACCAGUAUGCGAGUGGAUUUGAAUUCUGCCCCCCAAGGCUCCAAGGACCAGCACUUAUCCCCUGCUGCCACCAUGCCAUUGCUCAUCCAUUCCCUUGUACGAAAUAAAUUUGAUCUAGACGC